rnacentral:misc_RNA from 1 species
AACGCACAUUGCGCCUCUUGGUAUUCUAGGAGGCAUGCCUGUUCGAGCGUCAUUACAACCCUCAAGCACUGCUUGGUAUUGGGCUCUGCGAGCAUAUGGCAGACCCUAAAGCUAGUGGCGGUGUCCUUGGGUUCUGCGCGUAGUAACAUCUCGUCGCUAUAGAAUCUCAAGGUUCACUUGCCAGCCAACCUUCACUCUGAUAGUUGACCUCGGAUCAGGCAGGGAUACCCGCUGAACUUAA